rnacentral:rRNA from 1 species
GACGAACGCUGGCGGCGUGCUUAACACAUGCAAGUCGAACGGAAAGGCCCUGCUUUUGUGGGGUGCUCGAGUGGCGAACGGGUGAGUAACACGUGAGUAACCUGCCCUUGACUUUGGGAUAACUUCAGGAAACUGGGGCUAAUACCGGAUAGGAGCUCCUGCUGCAUGGUGGGGGUUGGAAAGUUUCGGCGGUUGGGGAUGGACUCGCGGCUUAUCAGCUUGUUGGUGGGGUAGUGGCUUACCAAGGCUUUGACGGGUAGGCGGCCUGAGAGGGUGACCGGCCACAAUGGGACUGAGGGACGGCCCAGACUCCUACGGGAGGCAGCAGUGGGGAAUAUUGCACAAUGGGCGGGAGCCUGAUGCAGCAACGCCGCGUGCGGGAUGACGGCCUUCGGGUUGUAAACCGCUGUCGCCUGAGACGAAGCGUGAGUGACGGUAAUGGGUAAAGAAGCACCGGCUAACUACGUG